UUUGGCAUUAAGAUGCACACAACUGUCUGCUUGACAUCUCUAAUGUGACAAGAAUCGCUGAGCGUGCGCCACGGGCUCCGUCGGGGUCGGCGCGAUCGAUGCAGAGAUUUAACUUGUAACUGCAGACCGGUCCCUUGACUCUGCCAGCAUGUGUGGUGUGUGUCUGCACAUGUAACCAUGAGUAAAUGUGAUUAAUCUGAAAACCUACACGUUCCCUUGAGUGGCCCUUAAUAAAUCUGAUCUCAAUUUAGCGGUUUCGUCCAGAGAGUUGCUUCAUUUCAUCUCAGUGUUGUGUUUUGCUCCCUUUUUCUCUCGACCACACAUACCUGAGUUGUGUAUGUCUGCAAGCUGCCAAAAGGUUUCCACGCUUGUUACAGCCACAGGCUCUUUCGCGUGUCCUGUAUGUGACUUGGAGGGGUGGCAUCUGCGUUGAAAGGAUACUUCUGCCGUGGCAGCUGAAUGGGCUCUUUGUGCGACCAGCUCAGACCUGCGCUCUGCAGAGUGUUAUGAAAACUUCGACUCACGACCUUAUCUGAAAACUGACAGAAAUGAGUUCCAGACUUCUGCGGGACAUUUGGAGAUGCUGACUUUUUAUGUAUGACUAGAGAGAUACAAAGAUAGUGAAGAGGCUACAGCAGCAGAGACGGGGAGUUACAACUGAAAGACUCCUUGAUGAAAUCCCACACUGUACCUUUCCCCUCAGGGUUUUAAAUUUGGUUCCUUGAGCUAGUGAUACUCCUGCAAAACUCUAACCUUCUCCUUCUGGACAAACUUGCUUUUGUUUGCAAUGUAAGCACACCACCGGUUCCUCGCUUGCUCUCUUUGUCUCACACACAGUCCCUAUUAAAGCCAGCCAUUGUUCCAGGCUAAGAUAAUAGUAUCAGUCCUUGAUGAGAGAGUUAUACUUGGACUGGCACCAGCUGUUAAAGCAGUCAUACUUUGUCAAACAGAUUAGAUUACAAAAUUACACACAAUCUCGUCUGGCUUUAAUUAUCAGACCACACUUCAUAAGUUACCCCGCACAGUGCUUUACAACCCAGAACUGCAAACAAAUUGCGCGGCGCAGUUCAUCAUGUCCACAGUUAAAUUAAGAGAGACAUGUUAAUCUGUUGUCAUAUUGUCCAGAGAUUUGGUGGCUAAUGUACUGUGGAGGGUUUAAUGGGGGAAUUCAGACAGCUUAAUCGGCAUGCACCCGUCCCCAAUCACAAAUUCCCAAGAAAAGCAGAAUGCUUUACAUUGUUGUUUCCAGGCCACCUUCUGCGACUGUUCCACAUGUCGAGGAGCUGCUGAGAGCUUGUGUUUCUUCACUAGUGGACCGUGCCAGUUAAGCUGAGCUGAAAUUCAACAAUUUCCUCCUGUUUGCAUAGUGAUAUAACUACAUCAGUGUGUGUUUAAACGCAUGUUUAUCUACAGUGGUUAAAGCCUUGUCGCAGGACUAUUGUGUUAUGAUCUGGCCAGAUGGCAGAUUCAUGGUGCUACACACCAAAAAUACUGAAGAGGGAUAAAUGAUGUUUCUAUGUCAGAGAGGAAGCAACGGAGUCAUUUAAUUAUAGGGCAUUGUAGAUGUCACACGAAGCUGAAAACAGGUAAAGUGAUAUGUAUGAAAGGUGUAUAGGUUAUAUAUUAGAGAGAAAGAGGUGACGUAAAGUGGCUAUUAAAGGUAAUUAAGUGGGCAUUUGGAUCCCAUUAUACAUUUGUUUUAUUCAUGUUUCUUUCAUCAGAUUAAUCAUCUCUCUUAUCCCUAUUUUUAUUUUUAUUUCAAAAUAUAAUAUGGAACAAGGAGUCAGGGCUAACCCUUAUUUCUUUAUAUUUUGCUUACAAAGAGCUAGAUAUUCUUGGGCAUUAGCUGCCUUUUUGCGCACAAGAGUGAAUUUAAAUCGGAUGUUUACGUCAUUUUUAACUUGGACUCUGCCUCAAAAACACAAUUUGUUCCAGUUUCUUUAUUUAAAAAGAUGAAAAAUGUCAAAGGUAACUCAGUUUGAAGGCACCAAAUGUUAUUUUUUAUACCAACAAGGUCAUUCCCAAAGAGCCAUUAGCCAAAAACCUGACACACUCCUUGUCAUGAUGUGCUAUGUCUUUAAAAUAAUUUGGAGAAACUGGAGAAGUGGAAGAUGAAAUGUAGAGGUAGGCCAAAUUACUCAAAAACUAAUUACUCAAAAAACUAGCAACAGGCCUUAUAAAGCGAUGAAUCCAGAUUUCAAACAGUUCAAAACUGUUGUCAGUGUAUUGACAAGAUUAGCAGCGUGUCUGCAGCCAUCUGUAAAACACAGUGGAAGCUCUGUCAUGGUUUGUGGCUGAAUUUCAGGCAGUUGUGUUGGAGAUUUUGUUUAAAAUUGAUGGAAUUAUGAACGCAGAAAAGCAGCGUGAAAUUUUGAUCCAUCUGGAAAUCAUCUGAUUGAGAACAGCUUCUUUGUUCAGCAUUACAAUGAUCCCAAAUACACUGCCAAUGGACUAAGAGCAUACCUGGACAGAAAAACACAAUAGAACAGUAUUUGGCAUUCAUGGGCCUCCUCAGAGCUCAGACAUCAACAGUAUUGAAGCAGUGUGGUAUCAUGUUGACAGAGAACAGAACAAAACGCAGACAUUUAAAGAAAAGCUUUGAAUGCCCUUCAAGAUCCCUGGAGAACGACUCCUGAACAAUAUUUAAUAAUUUAAAAAAAAUUACAAGAAAGCUUGAUCUAUUUUGAUUGGAAAAUAUAAAAAAAAAAAAUCGGGAUGGUUAAAGUCUUUUGUACAAUAAUUUAGUAAGACAAUUGAAAAUAUUCUGUGUACAGAGUUACAACAUUUUACUGUUUUGAAUUAUGUGUCAUAUUUGAAUUUCAUUUUACCUCCAGGCAGAAAGUUAGAAUGUAACAGAAGCGCUUCAUGAGCCAACAACACAAAAAGCCUUUGACACUGAUCAUGUUGGCCUGUAACAAAUGAUGAAACACAGAUAAAACCAUGACCAAAAAGAAAAAUUACCAUAUUAGUAAUGGCAUGCACUCAGCUUGAUAUGACUAAAUCACUAAAAGGGCAACUUUAAAAACCAACCAACGCACCAUCUGGCAUAAACAGCACACAUCUUGAACACGGCCCUGUUCUUCUGUAACCUGAUAUAAACAGUCUCUCUAAUUAUUACAGCCUACAAGAUCCACGGUGAAGAACAGACAACAGGCAGCAAGAAGAAAUGUAUGAAGUUCAAGGAAGAGGCAGCGGGAGAAUUACUGAGUGUUCCAGUGGAGAGCAUUGCCUCAGAUCUGCUGUCACUGAAGCAGAGACACCUCUAGAGACGAGCCGGCUCAUUUCUAUAAAGAUUAAUAACGCUAGUGGUAAGGCCCAGAUCAGCCCUCGGAGUCCCAAGGCCCUCCCGGUGCAAAACCGCUGGCACAAGACAGCGGAGGUGGUGACAGAGAUGAGGGAAAGACCCGUGUAGAGUGUGGGAGUAAUGGAGUGAGGAAACAGUGAGUGCCUCAUUGCAUAGAUACAUCAGAGCUUAUUUUAUGAUGCGUUUAAUUUAAAAACCGAUGCAAAACUUAAUUUUAUUUCAUUGUAUAAUGUUCAGUGAAAGGUGCUAAACCUUUUAAACUCACGAAUUUGCUUUUAUUUGAAGGAAACUAGCACUCUAUUAAAUGUAAGACCAACAGCCACUUGGCUUGGGGGAAAGAGUGGAAACCUCAAAGUAAGAAAACAUAACUACCAUCAUCUCUACAGCUUAUUACUUCUACGCUCAUCCCAUUGG